CUGCAGUUAGUGAAGCUAACUGGGUGCUUUUGCUGGUGGGUGCCGUGUGCAGUGGCAGCGAACAGCAAGCUUCUCGGUAGUACACGCAGGCUGUUGCUUGUAUUGGCUGCCCUAAGAGGCCUUGGAGACACUG
rnacentral:snoRNA from 1 species